rnacentral:rRNA from 1 species
GAAUAAGGAUCGGCUAACUUCGUGCCAGCAGCCGCGGUAAGACGAAGGAUCCGAGUGUUAUCCGGNAAUUACUGGGCGUAAAGGGCGUCUAGGCGGCCAGGUAAGUCACCCGUGAAAGUCCGCGGCUCAACCGCGGAAUGCCGGGUGAAACUGCUUGACUUGGGUAUAGGAGAAGAGGGUGGAACUCACAGAGUAGCGGUGGAAUGCGUAGAUAUUGUGAGGUACCCCGAUGGCGAAGGCAACCCUCUGGCCUGCUACCGACGCUGAAGCGCGAAAGCGUGGGGAGCAAAGGGGAUUAGAUACCCCCGUAGUCCACGCCGCAAACGAUGUUCACUUGGUGUCGGUCGCUGAUACAGAUCGGUGCCGGAGCUAACGUGUUAAGUGAACCGCCUGGGGAGUACGGCCGCAAGGCUAAAACUCAAGAGAAUUGACGGGGGCCCGCACAAGCGGUGGAGCACGUGGUUCAAUUCGAUGAUAAACGAAUAACCUCACCUGGGUUUGACAUGCUAGUGGUAGGAACCAGAAACGGGGACGACUUUCCCUUUCGAGGGAAGGAGCUAGCACAGGUGAUGCAUGGCUGUCGUCAGCUCGUGUCGUGGGACGUAGGGUUAAGUCCCGAAACGAGCGCAACCCCUGUCGUCAGUUGCCAGCGGGUAAUGCCGGGGACUCUGACGAGACUGCUGGUGAAUAGCCGGAGGAAGGAGGGGACGACGUCAAGUCAUCAUGUCCCUUAUGCCCAGGGCUACACACAUGCUACAAUGGGAGGUACAAUGGGUUGCGAAACCGUAAGGUGAAGCCAAUCUCAAAAAGCCUUCCUCAGUUCGGAUUGAGGUCUGUAACUCGACCUCAUGAAGCUGGAAUCGCUAGUAAUCGCAGGUCAGCUAUACUGCGGUGGAUAUGUACUCGGGCCUUGUACUCACCGCCCGU